UACGUAGGGUGCAAGCGUUGUCCGGAAUUAUUGGGCGUAAAGAGCUCGUAGGCGGUCUGUCGCGUCGGCUGUGAAAACCCGAGGCUCAACCUCGGGCCUGCAGUCGAUACGGGCAAACUAGAGUACUGCAGGGGAGACUGGAAUUCCUGGUGUAGCGGUGAAAUGCGCAGAUAUCAGGAGGAACACCGGUGGCGAAGGCGGGUCUCUGGGCCGAAACUGACGCUGAGGAGCGAAAGCGUGGGGAGCGAACAGG
rnacentral:rRNA from 1 species